rnacentral:rRNA from 1 species
AAUAUUGCGCAAUGGAGGGAACUCGGACGCAGCGACGCCGCGCGAGCGAGGAAGGUCUUAGGAUUGUAAAAUUCUUUCACCGGGGACGAUAAUGACGGUACCCGGAGGAGAAGACCCGGCUAACUUCGUUCCAGCAGCCGCGGUAAUACGAAGGGGGCGAGCGUUGCUCGGAAUUACUGGGCGUAAAGGGCGCGUAGGCGGAUCGUUAAGUCAGGGGUGAAAUCCCGGGGCUCAACCUCGGAACUGCCCUUGAUACUGGCGAUCUUGAGUAUGAGAGAGGUAUGUGGAACUCCGAGUGUAGAGGUGAAAUUCGUAGAUAUUCGGAAGAACACCAGUGGCGAAGGCGACAUACUGGCUCAUUACUGACGCUGAGGCGCGAAAGCGUGGGGAGCAAACA